rnacentral:rRNA from 1 species
UACGUAGGGGGCAAGCGUUGUCCGGAUUUAUUGGGCGUAAAGAGCGUGUAGGCGGCUAUACAGGUCCGCUGUGAAAACUCGAGGCUCAACCUCGAGCCGUCGGUGGAAACCGUAUGGCUAGAGUCCGGAAGAGGAGAGUGGAAUUCCUGGUGUAGCGGUGAAAUGCGCAGAUAUCAGGAAGAACACCCGUGGCGAAGGCGGCUCUCUGGGACGGUACUGACGCUGAGACGCGAAAGCGUGGGGAGCGAACAGG